AACGAACGCUGGCGGCAUGCCUAACACAUGCAAGUCGAACGAGACCUUCGGGUCUAGUGGCGCACGGGUGCGUAACGCGUGGGAACCUGCCCUUAGGUUCGGAAUAACUCCCCGAAAGGGGUGCUAAUACCGGAUAAUGUCUUCGGACCAAAGAUUUAUCGCCUUUGGAUGGGCCCGCGUUGGAUUAGCUAGUUGGUAGGGUAAAAGCCUACCAAGGCGACGAUCCAUAGCUGGUCUGAGAGGAUGAUCAGCCACACUGGGACUGAGACACGGCCCAGACUCCUACGGGAGGCAGCAGUGGGGAAUAUUGGACAAUGGGGGAAAGCCUGAUCAAGCAAUGCCGCGUGAGUGAUGAAGGCCUUAGGGUUGUAAAGCUCUUUUACCCGGGAUGAUAAUGACAGUACCGGGAGAAUAAGCUCCGGCUAACUCCGUG
rnacentral:rRNA from 1 species